rnacentral:rRNA from 1 species
ACCAGGCCUUGACAUGCAGAGAACUUUCCAGAGAUGGAUUGGUGCCUUCGGGAACUCUGACACAGGUGCUGCAUGGCUGUCGUCAGCUCGUGUCGUGAGAUGUUCGGGUUAAGUCCCCGUUAACGAGCGCAACCCUUGUCCUUAGUUACCAGCACGUUAUGGUGGGCACUCUAAGGAGACUGCCGGUGACAAACCGGAGGAAGGUGGGGAUGACAUCAAGUCAUCAUGGCCCUUACGGCCUGGGCUACACACGUGCUACAAUGGUCGGUACAAAGGGUUGCCAAGCCGCGAGGUGGAGCUAAUCCCAUAAAACCGAUCGUAGUCCGGAUCGCAGUCUGCAACUCGACUGCGUGAAGUCGGAAUCGCUAGUAAUCGUGAAUCAGAAUGUCACGGUGAAUACGUUCCCGGGCCUU